UGGAGGGAAAGUCAAGAAUACAAUCCACCCUAUCUGCCUCUUUAAAAAAGAAAUGCUUCCCUGCCUGAGAGAGAAAAAAAAAAAAAGAGAGAGAGAGAGAAUAAAGAGAGAAAGUAAAGAGAGAAACUAAAUCAAUCCUGAAUGCUUAAGAACACUGAAGGAAUGGGUUAAUGUAAAACUGAAGCACAGGUGAAAACCAUUUCAGAGCUCAUAUCCAUCACCAAAAGAUAUAAAUGGGUAGCUGUAGAACGAAAGGAGGUUUCCAUUGUUAGUGAAAGGAUGAUGGAACAGAAACGUAUUUGUGAGGAUGAAAGUAAAGAAGAAUAUGCUGAUGCUAGUUUCCCACUGAAGAGCACAGUGAUCUCUGAAUUCUCUGGAUGUAUAAAAUGUCCUUCUUCGUUGUUCAACAACCAGAAUAAUUAUCUUCAGAGAAUGUUGCAGAAAGAAAUACAUAGUUUCUCUCUUCUGGACACACUUGGUAUCAACUGAAAUACUUCUGCUUGAUCAGGACACUGGUUUUGAAGGACAGUCAGACAGCUGACAAAGACUAUAUGGAGGUACUGGGACCCAGACUCCAGGCUUCCUUUCCUUUUACAACAGUUUGUCUAGAAUCUUGAUGCCUGCCUACUUCAAAUUGACAUAUCUAUGAAAGCAGGUGUAUUUUCUGAAGUUCAAGAGAAGAUUUAGACUCUUCUCCAGUGGGCACAGUGCUGGUGAAAAAGUGGAGUUAGACAAAAAUAUUUUAAAAAAAUUACAGUGCUGAUGUUGACAAUGGUUAAUAAACAACAACAAAAACGAACA
rnacentral:lncRNA from 1 species